AGGAAAGGAUCUGAGCACCGUCAGAACUGAUGUCUUCGCUUGUCUCAGGCCAGAACAGAAGGGAGAGAAGGAAGAGAGCACUUGCUGAUGACAUGUGUUUCCCUUUUGUGAUGAAUCUCUUGCUGAGUUCCUGUAGCUUCUGAAGAGAGAGAAGCUUGGAGGACCCAGGCCGAAUACAGUUGCAACUCAGACUGUCCAGGAGCUCAGUGAUCCAGAUCUGGGGGGAGAUCCCACAGGACACCAUUCGCCAUCUCAUUAGGAUCAUGUCCCAAUGUCAUCAGCCGUCUCCAUCAACAUCGUUUGAAGCUUCCAUAACAAAAAGACCCAGAGCUGUUCUAUGCUUCUAGUGGAAUUGCGAGCAUCAUCUUCAGUGAUUGUGAUCAGCUCCUGUGGCCAUGAUGGAGCUCAAACACAAUGCAGCCACACCUCAUUUAUUCCAGCCCAGAAAAGUUAAACUAAUUUAAUCAAGG